GAUGAACGCUAGCUACAGGCUUAACACAUGCAAGUCGAGGGGAAACGACAUCGAAAGCUUGCUUUUGAUGGGCGUCGACCGGCGCACGGGUGAGUAACGCGUAUCCAACCUGCCCACCACUUGGGGAUAACCUUGCGAAAGUAAGACUAAUACCCAAUGAUAUCUCUAGAAGACAUCUGAAAGAGAUUAAAGAUUUAUCGGUGAUGGAUGGGGAUGCGUCUGAUUAGCUUGUUGGCGGGGUAACGGCCCACCAAGGCUACGAUCAGUAGGGGUUCUGAGAGGAAGGUCCCCCACAUUGGAACUGAGACACGGUCCAAACUCCUACGGGAGGCAGCAGUGAGGAAUAUUGGUCAAUGGACGAGAGUCUGAACCAGCCAAGUAGCGUGCAGGAUGACGGCCCUAUGGGUUGUAAACUGCUUUUAUAAGGGAAUAAAGUGAGAGUCGUGACUCUUUUUGCAUGUACCUUAUGAAUAAGGACCGGCUAAUUCCGUG
rnacentral:rRNA from 1 species